GCAAACGCUGGCGCCGUGCCUUCUACUUGCAGUCGCGCGAAUGGAUUAAGAGCUUGCUCUUAUGAAGUUAGCGGCGGACGGGUGAGUAACACGUGGGUAACCUGCCCAUAAGACUGGGAUAACUCCGGGAAACCGGGGCUAAUACCGGAUAACAUUUUGAACCGCAUGGUUCGAAAUUGAAAGGCGGCUUCGGCUGUCACUUAUGGAUGGACCCGCGUCGCAUUAGCUAGUUGGUGAGGUAACGGCUCACCAAGGCAACGAUGCGUAGCCGACCUGAAAGGGUGAUCGGCCACACUGGGACUGAGACACGGCCCAGACUCCUACGGGAGGCAGCAGUAGGGAAUCUUCCGCAAUGGACGAAAGUCUGACGGAGCAACGCCGCGUGAGUGAUGAAGGCUUUCGGGUCGUAAAACUCUGUUGUUAGGGAAGAACAAGUGCUAGUUGAAUAAGCUGGCACCUUGACGGUACCUAACCAGAAAGCCACGGCUAACUACGUGCCAGCAGCCGCGAUAAUACGUAGGUGGCAAGCGUUAUCCGGAAUUAUUGGGCGUAAAGCGCGAGCAGGUGGUUUCUUAAGUCUGAUGUGAAAGCCCACGGCUCAACCGUGGAGGGUCAUUGGAAACUGGGAGACUUGAGUGCAGAAGAGGAAAGUGGAAUUCCAUGUGUAGCGGUGAAAUGCGUAGAGAUAUGGAGGACACCAGUGGCGAAGCGACUUUCUGUCUGUACUGACACUGAGGCGCGAAAGCGUGGGGGAGCAACAGGAUUAGAUACCCUGGUAGUCCACGCCGUAACGAUGAGUGCUAAGUGGUAAAGGGUUUCGGC
rnacentral:rRNA from 1 species